CCCAGGAGUCCUGGGCAGAGAUGCGCGCCGCAUUUGGGAAGUAUUUUCAAGAUGAAGCUUCUGUUCCUGUCAUCUAUUCAGGAACAAAGGUUUCCCCAAGAAUAAAAGGAAGACUUUCUUAUUCAAACCACAGUCCAAGGAGUGGCAAACACGCCUUUAUCUGCCCUUCUAGAAGUGGGUCUCAAAGUCACAGCCGGACUCCAGAUGGUUGCUGUUUCUCUGGAGAUCAUGCCAUUGCUUGCUCAAAAUUAAAUUAUCUUCUCAGAGAGCACCACAUUUGGGGCAUUUAUUUCUCCAGAAUGUGUAAACCAAUUAUUUCUAGUCUU
rnacentral:lncRNA from 1 species